rnacentral:rRNA from 1 species
UCCGCUUCUCGCGAAGCAUGAGCUGUGAUGGGGAAGGAAAUUAAGUACGGAAGUUCCUGAUUUCACGCUGUCACGAAAAGCCUCUAGGAAGAGUAGUACUGCCCGUACCGCAAACCGACACGGGUAGAUGAGGAGAGAAUCCUAAGGUGAGCGAGACAACUCUCGUUAAGGAACUCGGCAAAAUGACCCCGUAACUUCGGGAGAACGGGUGCUCUAUUAGGGUGCAAGCCCGAGAGAGCCGCAGAGAAUAGGCCCAGGCGACUGUUUCGCACACACACAGACCACUGCAAAACCGUAAGGCGACGUAUAGGGGCUGACGACUGCC